rnacentral:rRNA from 1 species
CAUACGGCUCAGUAACACGUAGUCAACCUGCCCUGGAGACGCGGACAAACCCGGGAAACUGGGGCCUAUCCGCGAUAGAUGACAUCACCUGGAAGGAGAAGUCGUCCAAAAGGGCGCACGGGUAUGCUCUGUGCGAACCGCUCCAGGAUGGGACUGCGGCCGAUCAGGCUGUUGGCGGGGUAAUGGCCCACCAAACCUGUAACCGGUACGGGCUUUGAGAGAAGGAGCCCGGAGAUGGACACUGAGACAAGGGUCCAGGCCCUACGGGGCGCAUCAGGCGCGAAAACUUCGCAAUGCGCGAAAGCGUGACGAGGCUAGUCCGAGUGCUUCCUGCUAAAGGGAGCUUUUCUCGGCUGUAAAUAGGCCGGGGAAUAAGGGGAGGGCAAGUCUGGUGUCAGCCGCCGCGGUAAUACCAGCUCCUCGAGUGGUCGGGACGAUUAUUGGGCCUAAAGCACCCGUAGCCGGUUCCGUAAGUCCUCUGUUAAAUCCAGUCGCUCAACGGCUGGCCUGCAGAGGAUACUGCAGGACUAGGAGGCGGGAGAGGCGGACGGUACUCCGCGUGUAGGGGUAAAAUCCUUUGAUCCGCGGAAGACCACCAGUGGCGAAGGCGGUCCGCCAGAACGCGCUCGACGGUGAGGGGUGAAAGCUGGGGGAGCGAACC